AAUCCAUAGGUUAAUGAGGCGAACCGGGGGAACUGAAACAUCUAAGUACCCCGAGGAAAAGAAAUCAACCGAGAUUCCCCCAGUAGCGGCGAGCGAACGGGGAGGAGCCCAGAGCCUGAAUCAGCAUGUGUGUUAGUGGAAGCGUCUGGAAAGGCGCGCGAUACAGGGUGACAGCCCCGUACACAAAAGCGCAUGUGCUGUGAGCUCGAUGAGUAGGGCGGGACACGUGGUAUCCUGUCUGAAUAUGGGGGGACCAUCCUCCAAGGCUAAAUACUCCUGACUGACCGAUAGUGAACCAGUACCGUGAGGGAAAGGCGAAAAGAACCCCGGCGAGGGGAGUGAAAAAGAACCUGAAACCGUGUACGUACAAGCAGUGGGAGCACCCUUCGGGGUGUGACUGCGUACCUUUUGUAUAAUGGGUCAGCGACUUAUAUUCUGUAGCAAGGUUAACCGUAUAGGGGAGCCGUAGGGAAACCGAGUCUUAACCGGGCGUUAAGUUGCAGGGUAUAGACCCGAAACCCGGUGAUCUAGCCAUGGGCAGGUUGAAGGUUGGGUAACACUAACUGGAGGACCGAACCGACUAAUGUUGAAAAAUUAGCGGAUGACCUGUGGCUGGGGGUGAAAGGCCAAUCAAACCGGGAGAUAGCUGGUUCUCCCCGAAAGCUAUUUAGGUAGCGCCUCGUGAAUUCAUCUCCGGGGGUAGAGCACUGUUUCGGCUAGGGGGCCAUCCCGGCUUACCAACCCGAUGCAAACUGCGAAUACCGGAGAAUGUUAUCACGGGAGACACACGGCGGGUGCUAACGUCCGUCGUGAAGAGGGAAACAACCCAGACCGCCAGCUAAGGUCCCAAAGUCAUGGUUAAGUGGGAAACGAUGUGGGAAGGCCCAGACAGCCAGGAUGUUGGCUUAGAAGCAGCCAUCAUUUAAAGAAAGCGUAAUAGCUCACUGGUCGAGUCGGCCUGCGCGGAAGAUGUAACGGGGCUAAACCAUGCACCGAAGCUGCGGCAGCGACACUGUGUGUUGUUGGGUAGGGGAGCGUUCUGUAAGCCUGUGAAGGUGGCCUGUGAGGGUUGCUGGAGGUAUCAGAAGUGCGAAUGCUGACAUAAGUAACGAUAAAGCGGGUGAAAAGCCCGCUCGCCGGAAGACCAAGGGUUCCUGUCCAACGUUAAUCGGGGCAGGGUGAGUCGACCCCUAAGGCGAGGCCGAAAGGCGUAGUCGAUGGGAAACGGGUUAAUAUUCCCGUACUUGGUGUUACUGCGAAGGGGGGACGGAGAAGGCUAUGUUGGCCGGGCGACGGUUGUCCCGGUUUAAGCGUGUAGGUGUGUGUUCCAGGUAAAUCCGGUUCACUUUAACACUGAGGCGUGACGACGAGGCACUACGGUGCUGAAGCAACAAAUGCCCUGCUUCCAGGAAAAGCCUCUAAGCAUCAGGUAACAUCAAAUCGUACCCCAAACCGACACAGGUGGUCAGGUAGAGAAUACCAAGGCGCUUGAGAGAACUCGGGUGAAGGAACUAGGCAAAAUGGUGCCGUAACUUCGGGAGAAGGCACGCUGACACGUAGGUGAAGUGAUUUACUCAUGGAGCUGAAGUCAGUCGAAGAUACCAGCUGGCUGCAACUGUUUAUUAAAAACACAGCACUGUGCAAACACGAAAGUGGACGUAUACGGUGUGACGCCUGCCCGGUGCCGGAAGGUUAAUUGAUGGGGUCAGCGCAAGCGAAGCUCCUGAUCGAAGCCCCGGUAAACGGCGGCCGUAACUAUAACGGUCCUAAGGUAGCGAAAUUCCUUGUCGGGUAAGUUCCGACCUGCACGAAUGGCGUAAUGAUGGCCAGGCUGUCUCCACCCGAGACUCAGUGAAAUUGAACUCGCUGUGAAGAUGCAGUGUACCCGCGGCAAGACGGAAAGACCCCGUGAACCUUUACUAUAGCUUGACACUGAACAUUGAGCCUUGAUGUGUAGGAUAGGUGGGAGGCUUUGAAGUGUGGACGCCAGUCUGCAUGGAGCCGACCUUGAAAUACCACCCUUUAAUGUUUGAUGUUCUAACGUGGACCCGUAAUCCGGGUUGCGGACAGUGUCUGGUGGGUAGUUUGACUGGGGCGGUCUCCUCCUAAAGAGUAACGGAGGAGCACGAAGGUUGGCUAAUCCUGGUCGGACAUCAGGAGGUUAGUGCAAUGGCAUAAGCCAGCUUGACUGCGAGCGUGACGGCGCGAGCAGGUGCGAAAGCAGGUCAUAGUGAUCCGGUGGUUCUGAAUGGAAGGGCCAUCGCUCAACGGAUAAAAGGUACUCCGGGGAUAACAGGCUGAUACCGCCCAAGAGUUCAUAUCGACGGCGGUGUUUGGCACCUCGAUGUCGGCUCAUCACAUCCUGGGGCUGAAGUAGGUCCCAAGGGUAUGGCUGUUCGCCAUUUAAAGUGGUACGCGAGCUGGGUUUAGAACGUCGUGAGACAGUUCGGUCCCUAUCUGCCGUGGGCGCUGGAGAACUGAGGGGGGCUGCUCCUAGUACGAGAGGACCGGAGUGGACGCAUCACUGGUGUUCGGGUUGUCAUGCCAAUGGCACUGCCCGGUAGCUAAAUGCGGAAGAGAUAAGUGCUGAAAGCAUCUAAGCACGAAACUUGCCCCGA
rnacentral:rRNA from 1 species